UGGGGGAUAUUGCACAAUGGGCGAAAGCCUGAUGCAGCGACGCCGCGUGGGGGAUGAAGGCUUUCGGGUUGUAAACCUCUUUCGCUAUCGAACAAGGCCCGCUUAGGGUGGGUUGAGGGUAGGUGGAGAAGAAGCGCCGGCUAACUACGUGCCAGCAGCCGCGGUAAUACGUAGGGCGCGAGCGUUGUCCGGAAUUAUUGGGCGUAAAGGGCUUGUAGGCGGCUUGUUGCGCCCGCUGUGAAAACGCGGGGCUUAACUUCGCGCGUGCAGUGGGUACGGGCAGGCUUGAGUGUGGUAGGGGUGACUGGAAUUCCAGGUGUAGCGGUGGAAUGCUCAGAUAUCUGGAGGAACACCGAUGGCGAAGGCAGGUCACUGGGCCAUUACUGACGCUGAGGAGCGAAAGCAUGGGUAGCGAACAGG
rnacentral:rRNA from 1 species